AUUGAACGCUGGCGGCAGGCCUAACACAUGCAAGUCGAGCGAGCGGCGGACGGGGGAGUAAGGUCUGGGAAACUGCCUGAUGGAGGGGGAUAACUACUGGAAACGGUAGCUAAUACCGCAUACCAUCAGAUGUGCACAGAUGGGAUUAGCUAGUAGGUGGGGUAAUGGCGCACCUAGGCGACGAUCCCUAGCUGUUCUGAGAGGAUGACCAGCCGACCUGGAACUGAGACACGGUCCAGACUCCUACGGGAGGCGUCAGUGGGAAAUAUUGCACGAUUGGCGAGAGCCGGAUGCAGCCAUGCCGCGUGGGUGAGGAAGGCCUUCGGGUUGUAAAGCACUUUCAGCUGGGAGGCGUUACCCGCAGAAGAAGCACCGGCUAACUCCGUGCCAGCAGCCGCGGUAAUUC
rnacentral:rRNA from 1 species